AUGCGGGCUGAAGAUCCUGAGUUCAAAUACAGUGUACAGGUUGAUGGUGAUGGUCGAGUCAAGACUUUGAUGUGGACAACAGGGAGAAGCAUUGAGAAGUUUAAGUGUUUUGGCGAUGUUAUGACGUUUGAUACGACAUACAAAACUAAUCUAUACGACAUGCCAUUUGGCCUCUUCGUUGGUGUCAAUAAUCACUUUCAAAGCAUUAAUUUUGGAGGGGUGCUGAUGAGCGAUGAGAAAAUUGAAACUUUUAAGUGGAUAUUCAUAGAGUUCUUUCACAUGAUAGGAGCGCCACAACCACACACAAUCCUCACAGGUGAAUAA
rnacentral:rRNA from 1 species